GUUGUCAUGGCUGUCGUCAGCUCGUGUCGUGAGAUGUUCGGUUAAGUCCGCUAACGAGCGCAACCCUCGUCGUAUGUUAUAUGUGUCAUACGAGACUGCCGGUAAAAAGCCGGAGGAAGGUGAGGAUGAUGUCAAGUCAGCAUGACCCUUUAUAUCCAGGGCUACACACACGCUACAAUGGUCUGUACAAUGGGUAGCCAAGCCGCGAGGCGGAGCCAAUCCUGAAAGCAGGCCUCAGUUCAGAUUGCAGUCUGCAACUCGACUGCAUGAAGCCGGAGUUGCUAGUAACCGCAGGUCAGCAAUACUGCGGUGAAUACGUUCCCGGGUCUU
rnacentral:rRNA from 1 species